UUUGACCUCAAAUCAGGUAGGACUACCCGCUGAACUUAAGCAUAUCAAUAAGCGGAGGAAAAGAAACCAACAGGGAUUGCCUCAGUAGCGGCGAGUGAAGCGGCAAAAGCUCAAAUUUGAAAUCUGGCGUCUUUGGCGUCCGAGUUGUAAUUUGAAGAAGGUAUCUUUGGGCCCGGCUCUUGUCUAUGUUCCUUGGAACAGGACGUCACAGAGGGUGAGAAUCCCGUGCGAUGAGAUGACCCGGGUCUGUGUAAAGUUCCUUCGACGAGUCGAGUUGUUUGGGGAA
rnacentral:rRNA from 1 species